GAGUUUGAUUCUGGCUCAGGACAAACGCUGGCGACGUGCAUAACACAUGCAAGUCGAACGAAAUCUACAUGAUUUAGUGGCGAACGGGUGAGUAACACGUGAGAAACCUGCCUUACACAGAGGGAUAGCCGUUGGAAACGACGAUUAAUACCUCAUGACACCGUGACAUCGCAUGAUGAUGCGGUCAAAGAUUUAUCGGUGUAAGAUGGUCUCGCGCCUGAUUAGCUGGUUGGUGGGGUAACGGCCUACCAAGGCGACGAUCAGUAGCCGAUCUGAGAGGGUGGACGGCCACAUUGGGACUGAGACACGGCCCAAACUCCUACGGGAGGCAGCAGUGGGGAAUUUUGCACAAUGGGGGAAACCCUGAUGCAGCGACGCCGCGUGAACGAAGAAGGCCUUCGGGUUGUAAAGUUCUGUCCCUUGGUGAAGAUAAUGACCGUACCAGNAGAGCC
rnacentral:rRNA from 1 species